CUUGGGUGCAUUGUAGUUGCAUUGCACUUUCGCGUUCGAUACCAAUCGGUGCAAUUCUUCUGCAAUGCAAGCCAG
rnacentral:pre_miRNA from 2 species